GAUGAACGCUGGCGGCGUGCCUAAUACAUGCAAGUCGAGCGAAUGGAUUAAGAGCUUGCUCUUAUGAAGUUAGCGGCGGACGGGUGAGUAACACGUGGGUAACCUGCCCAUAAGACUGGGAUAACUCCGGGAAACCGGGGCUAAUACCGGAUAACAUUUUGAACCGCAUGGUUCGAAAUUGAAAGGCGGCUUCGGCUGUCACUUAUGGAUGGACCCGCGUCGCAUUAGCUAGUUGGUGAGGUAACGGCUCACCAAGGCAACGAUGCGUAGCCGACCUGAGGGGGUGAUCGGCCCCACUUGGACUGAGACACGGCCCAGACUCCUACGGGAGGCAGCAGUAGGGAAUCUUCCGCAAUGGACGAAAGUCUGACGGAGCAACGCCGCGUGAGUGAUGAAGGCUUUCGGGUCGUAAAACUCUGUUGUUAGGGAAGAACAAGUGCUAGUUGAAUAAGCUGGCACCUUGACGGUACCUAACCAGAAAGCCACGGCUAACUACGUGCCAGCAGCCGCGGUAA
rnacentral:rRNA from 1 species